rnacentral:tRNA from 1 species
UCCUCCAUAGCUCAGAGGCUACAGCACUGGUCUUGUAAACCAGGGUCGUAUGUUCAAUUCUCAUGGGGGGCU